GACGAACGCUGGCGGCGUGCUUAACACAUGCAAGUCGAACGGAAAGGCCCUGCUUUUGUGGGGUGCUCGAGUGGCGAACGGGUGAGUAACACGUGAGCAACCUGCCCUUGACUUUGGGAUAACUUCAGGAAACUGGGGCUAAUACCGGAUAGGAGCUCCUGCUGCAUGGUGGGGGUUGGAAAGUUUCGGCGGGUGGGGAUGGACUCGCGGCUUAUCAGCUUGUUGGUGGGGUAGUGGCUUACCAAGGCUUUGACGGGUAGCCGGCCUGAGAGGGUGACCGGCCACAUUGGGACUGAGAUACGGCCCAGACUCCUACGGGAGGCAGCAGUGGGGAAUAUUGCACAAUGGGCGGAAGCCUGAUGCAGCAACGCCGCGUGCGGGAUGACGGCCUUCGGGUUGUAAACCGCUUUCGCCUGUGACGAAGCGUGAGUGACGGUAAUGGGUAAAGAAGCACCGGCUAACUACGUG
rnacentral:rRNA from 1 species